rnacentral:tRNA from 1 species
GCUCUUUUAAUAUAAUAAAUAUAGAUGACUUCCACUCAUCCAAUCUUAGAAUAAACCUAAGAAAAAGCA